GUGCUGCUGUUAUCUAGCUCACUUUAAAUAUAUAAGCUUCUUCCUUAUGUUAUUGGAUUGACUUGGUGUAAUAUUUAACUUUGUUUUCAUCAAGGAAAGUAGCAAUACUUGCCAAUAGUAUUAAGUAAGGACUCCUAAAAAACAACUUUUCAUUUUUUAAGACCUCAAAUCAG
rnacentral:misc_RNA from 1 species